AUGUGGCCCUGGCCAAACCACCUGCUCUGGCUUUUCAUUGCCUGCUCCCCUACCCCAACUGUCAAAUUUUCCCAGAGCACCGAGGUUUCUGAAUAUGGGUUAAGAGCAUUCACCGUGACUCUCAAAGAUGCAUCCAGAGUCAAUUGGCCCAAGAAAAAAUUCCAGAGGGAAGCAUCUGUGGAGUCCAGUGUUCUGAAUCAUGGGCUGCAAUGUGGUGUCUCAGGGGUAGAACCCGCCUGCCAAUGCAAGAGACAUGGGUUCGAUCCCUGGGUCAGAAAGAUGCCCUGGAGAAGGAAAUGGAAACCCACCUCAGUAUUCUUGUCUGAAGAAUCCCACGGACAGAGGAGCCUGGUGGGCUAUAGUCCAUGGGGACUGAAUCGGACACGACUGAGCAACUCAACAACAACAGCAGCAAGGUGAGAGAAAUCUGCACUCCCGGAAGGGCUAUUUGCAACCCUCAGACAUCUUAAGCCAAAGAUAGCUUCUGAGCAGCCCGCCUCACCUGUGACCGAGUGAUCUUAAUAUGUAGAAUCCAGAAAAACGCCCUAUUUACAAAUCAGAAAUAGAGACAUGGACUUAGAGAAAAAAUGUGCAGAUCCCAAGGGGGAAGGGGGAGAGUGGGAGGGAUUGGGAGAUUGGGAUUGACACAUUCAAUAUUGAUACCUGUAUAAAAUGGAUAACUAAUGAGAACAUAGCAGUUCUGGGGCAUUUCAGAGGUAAAGAAUCUACCUGCUAAUUCUGGAAACAUAAGAGACAUGGAUUCGAUCAUUGGGUCUGGAAGAUCCCCUAUAGGAGGAAAUGGCAGCUUACUCCAGUAUUCUUGCCUGGAGAAUCCCAUGGACAGAAGAUCCUGGCGGGCUAGAGUCUACGGGGUUGCAAAGAGUCUGACACGACUGAGUGACUGAUCAUGCACAAUGAGAACACACUGUAUAAAAGAAAGAUCUCUACUUAAUGGUCUGUGGUGGCCUAAAUGGGAAGGAAAUCCAAAAAAGAAGUGAUAUAUAUGUGGAUGGUUGAUUCACUUUGCUAUACAUUAGUAAAUACAUAAGUAACACAUUAUAAAC
ensembl:lncRNA